GAUGAACGCUGGCGGUAUGCUUAACACAUGCAAGUCGAACGGUCUCUUCGGAGAUAGUGGCGGACGGGUGAGUAACGCGUGAGAAUCUGGCUCUAGGUCUGGGACAACCACUGGAAACGGUGGCUAAUACCGGGUGUGCCGAAAGGUGAAAGGUUAACUGCCUGGAGAUGAGCUCGCGUCUGAUUAGCUAGUUGGUAGGGUAAAAGCUUACCAAGGCGACGAUCAGUAGCUGGUCUGAGAGGACGAUCAGCCACACUGGGACUGAGACACGGCCCAGACUCCUACGGGAGGCAGCAGUGGGGAAUUUUCCGCAAUGGGCGAAAGCCUGACGGAGCAAUACCGCGUGAGGGAGGAAGGCUCUUGGGUUGUAAACCUCUUUUCUCAGGGAAGAAUAAUGACGGUACUUGAGGAAUAAGCAUCGGCUAACUCCGUGCCAGCAGCCGCGGUAAUACGGAGGAUGCAAGCGUUAUCCGGAAUGAUUGGGCGUAAAGCGUUCGCAGGUGGCAUUGAAAGUCUGCUGUCAAAGAGUCUGGCUCAACCAGAUACAGGCAGUGGAAACUUCAAAGCUAGAGUGCGGUAGGGGCAGAGGGAAUUCCUGGUGUAGCGGUGAAAUGCGUAGAGUUCAGGAAGAACACCGGUGGCGAAAGCGCUCUGCUAGACCGCAACUGACACUGAGGGACGAAAGCUAGGGGAGCGAAUGGGAUUAGAUACCCCAGUAGUCCUAGCCGUAAACGAUGGAUACUAGGCGUUGCUCGUAUCGACCCGAGCAGUGCCGUAGCUAACGCGUUAAGUAUCCCGCCUGGGGAGUACGCACGCAAGUGUGAAACUCAAAGGAAUUGACGGGGGCCCGCACAAGCGGUGGAGUAUGUGGUUUAAUUCGAUGCAACGCGAAGAACCUUACCAAGGCUUGACAUGUCCGGAAUCCUCGUG
rnacentral:rRNA from 1 species